GUACGAUGUGCUCUCGUAGAGUCGGGCUGCUUGGGAGUGCAGCUGAAGCGGGUGGUAAAUUCCAUCUAAAGCUAAAUACUGGCGGGAGACCGAUAGCGAACAAGUACCGUGAGGGAAAGAUGCAAAGAACUUUGAAAAGAGAGUUAAAGAGUGCUUGAAAUUGGCAGGAGGAAACCCGGUUGCGCGUGGCAUUUGGCGUGGUCGACUCAGCCGCGCGCGGAGAUCUGUAGGGGACCUAACGGCCUCGUGGUCAGCGCGCGCGGUGCACUUCGGCCGCGUCGGUCAGCCGCGUUUCUGUGCGGCCCAGACGGCCGCGGGCAGGGCUUCGGCGCAGCCUGCGGUUUGGGGGUCGCGCGGGAUCUCGGCUGAUGCGCACGGGCGCAACCGACCCGUCUAGAAACACGGACCAAGGAGUCUGACGCGUGUGCGAGUACUAGAGUGGCAAGCUCGAGUGCGCAAUGAAAGUGAAGGGCGUGCCCCGUCAACCGAUCUUGAUCUUCUGUGAAGGGUUUGAGUGGAGCACAUCUGUCGGGACCCGAAAGAUGGUGAACUAUGCCUGAGGAGGGUGAAGCCAGAGGAAACUCUGGUGGAGGCUCGUAGCGAUACUGACGUGCAAAUCGUUCGUCGAACUUGGGUAUAGGGGCGAAAGACUAAUCGAACCAUCUAGUAGCUGGUUCCCUCCGAAGUUUCCCUCAGGAUAGCUUGAACGCCGACGGUUUUGUCAGGUAAAGCGAAUGAUUAGAGGCCUUGGGGCUGAAACAGCCUUAACCUAUUCUCAAACUUUAAAUGGGCAAGAGGCGCCGGAUGCUUGACUGAUCCGGCGCG
rnacentral:rRNA from 1 species